rnacentral:rRNA from 1 species
AGAAAGCGGGGGAUCUUCGGACCUCGCGCUAUCGGAUGAGCCUAGGUCGGAUUAGCUAGUUGGUGGGGUAAAGGCUCACCAAGGCGACGAUCCGUAGCUGGUCUGAGAGGAUGAUCAGCCACACUGGAACUGAGACACGGUCCAGACUCCUACGGGAGGCAGCAGUGGGGAAUAUUGGACAAUGGGCGAAAGCCUGAUCCAGCCAUGCCGCGUGUGUGAAGAAGGUCUUCGGAUUGUAAAGCACUUUAAGUUGGGAGGAAGGGUUGUAACCUAAUACGUUGCA